GUGGAUUAGAUACCCUGGUAGUCCACGCUGUAAACGAUGUCAACUAGGUGUUGGGGGAGGAGACUUCCUUAGUACCGCAGCUAACGCGUGAAGUUGACCGCCUGGGGAGUACGGUCGCAAGAUUAAAACUCAAAGGAAUUGACGGGGACCCGCACAAGCGGUGGAUUAUGUGGAUUAAUUCGAUGCAACGCGAAAAACCUUACCUACCCUUGACAUGCCGAGAAUCCUGAAGAGAUUUAGGAGUGCCCGAAAGGGAACUUGGACACAGGUGCUGCAUGGCCGUCGACAGCU
rnacentral:rRNA from 1 species